rnacentral:rRNA from 1 species
AUUUCACACUGCCGAGAAAAGCCUCUAGAUAGAAAAUAGGUGCCCGUACCGCAAACCGACACAGGUAGUCAAGAUGAGAAUUCUAAGGUGAGCGAGCGAACUCUCGUUAAGGAACUCGGCAAAAUGACCCCGUAACUUCGGGAGAAGGGGUGCUCUUUAGGGUUAACGCCCAGAAGAGCCGCAGUGAAUAGGCCCAAGCGACUGUUUAUCAAAAACACAGGUCUCUGCUAAACCGUAAGGUGAUGUAUAGGGGCUGACGCCUGCCCGGUGCUGGAAGGUUAAGAGGAGUGGUUAGCUUCUGCGAAGCUACGAAUCGAAGCCCCAGUAAACGGCGGCCGUAACUAUAACGGUCCUAAGGUAGCGAAAUUCCUUGUCGGGUAAGUUCCGACCCGCACGAAAGGCGUAACGAUUUGGGCACUGUCUCAACGAGAGACUCGGUGAAAUCAUAGUACCUGUGAAGAUGCAGGUUACCCGCGACAGGACGGAAAGACCCCGUGGAGCUUUACUGUAGCCUGAUAUUGAAAUUCGGCACAGCUUGUACAGGAUAGGUAGGAGCCUUUGAAACGUGAGCGCUAGCUUACGUGGAGGCGCUGGUGGGAUACUACCCUAGCUGUGUUGGCUUUCUAACCCGCACCACUUAUCGUGGUGGGAGACAGUGUCAGGCGGGCAGUUUGACUGGGGCGGUCGCCUCCUAAAAGGUAACGGAGGCGCUCAAAGGUUCCCUCAGAAUGGUUGGAAAUCAUUCAUAGAGUGUAAAGGCAUAAGGGAGCUUGACUGCGAGACCUACAAGUCGAGCAGGGUCGAAAGACGGACUUAGUGAUCCGGUGGUUCCGCAUGGAAGGGCCAUCGCUCAACGGAUAAAAGCUACCCCGGGGAUAACAGGCUUAUCUCCCCCAAGAGUUCACAUCGACGGGGAGGUUUGGCACCUCGAUGUCGGCUCAUCGCAUCCUGGGGCUGUAGUCGGUCCCAAGGGUUGGGCUGUUCGCCCAUUAAAGCGGUACGCGAGCUGGGUUCAGAACGUCGUGAGACAGUUCGGUCCCUAUCCGUCGUGGGCGUAGGAAAUUUGAGAGGAGCUGUCCUUAGUACGAGAGGACCGGGAUGGACAUACCUCUGGUGUACCAGUUGUCGUGCCAACGGCAUAGCUGGGUAGCUAUGUGUGGACGGGAUAAGUGCUGAAAGCAUCUAAGCAUGAAGCCCCCCUCAAGAUGAGAUUUCCCAACUUCGGUUAUAAGAUCCCUCAAAGAUGAUGAGGUUAAUAGGUUCGAGGUGGAAGCAUGGUGACAUGUGGAGCUGACGAAUACUAA